UUAUUACUUAGGUUUUUUUUUUUGAGAUGAAGUCUUUCUCUGUUGCCCAGGCUGGAGUGCAGUGGCUCAAUCUUGGCUCACUGCAACCUCCACCUCCCGGGUUCAAGCAAUUCUCCUGCCUCAGCUUCCCAAGUAGCUGGGAUUUACAGGCAUGUGCCACCAUGCCCUCAUUACUUAGUUUCAACAGUGAGCAAUGCUGCGCCCAUCUUAUUUUCAUUUCUUUGCUCCUCUAUUUCCUUCUGAGAGCAAGUGUUGGAUUUUUAUUUAGCGAAAAAAUAAGAUACAGAGAUAGAACUGCUACAAGGGCUGAUGGAAGAGCAGGCCUGUAUUAAUAGCCCUUGUCUCUCUUCAGUUGCUGCCCAUUGAAAGAGCUGCUCGGAAGCAGAAGGCCCGGGAAGCUGCUGCUGGGAUCCAGUGGAGUGAAGAGGAGACGGAGGAUGAGGAGGAAGAGAAAGAAGUGACCCCUGAGUCAGGCCCCCCAAAGGUGGAAGAGGCAGAUGGGGGCCUGCAGAUCAAUGUGGAUGAGGAACCAUUUGUGCUGCCCCCUGCUGGGG
rnacentral:sRNA from 1 species